rnacentral:rRNA from 1 species
AGCGAACGCUGGCGGCGUGCCUAACACAUGCAAGUCGAACGUGAAAGGGAGCAAUCCCAAGUCAAGUGGCGUACGGGUGAGUAACACGUAGGUAAUCUACCCCAGAAUCUGGAAUAACCGGCCGAAAGGCUGGCUAAUACUGGAUAGAGCGACGGAAUCCGUAAUUGGGUUUUUCGGGAAAGGGAGCCUGUAAAAAGGCCUUCGUUCUGGGAUGAGCCUGCGUCCCAUCAGCUAGUUGGUGAGGUAAAAGCUUACCAAGGCAAUGACGGGUAGCUGGUCUGAGAGGACGAUCAGCCACACUGGAACUGAAACACGGGCCAGACUCCUACGGGAGGCAGCAGUGGGGAAUCUUGCGCAAUGGACGAAAGUCUGACGCAGCAACGCCGCGUGAGUGAAGAAGGCCUUCGGGUUGUAAAGCUCUGUCGAGUGGGACGAAAAUGCUUGGAGUUCACAGCUCCAGGAACUGACGGUACCACUAAAGGAAGCACCGGCUAACUCCGUG